rnacentral:rRNA from 1 species
AUUGAACGCUGGCGGCAGGCCUAACACAUGCAAGUCGAGCGAGCGGCGGACGGGUGAGUAAUGUAUGGGGAUCUGCCUGAUGGAGGGGGAUAACUACUGGGAACGGUAGCUAAUACCGCAUACCAUCAGAUGAGCCCACAUGGGAUUAGCUUGUAGGUAAGGUAACGGCUCACCUAGGCGACGAUCCCUAGCUGGUCUGAGAGGAUGAUCAGCCACACUGGGACUGAGACACGGCCCAGACUCCUACGGGAGGCAGCAGUAGGGAAUAUUGCACAAUGGGCGCAACCCUGACGCAGCCAUGCCGCGUGAAUGAAGAAGGCCUUCGGGUUGUAAAGCUCUUUCGGUAGCGAGGCGGUAACUACAGAAGAAGCACCGGCUAACUCCGUGCCAGCAGCCGCGGUAAUUC